rnacentral:sRNA from 1 species
AAAAACGUAGUUGUGUUCUCUUUAUCUGAAAAUAUACUAUUUACCUAUUUGUUAAUUUUAUUGUCUUUCUCUGCCAUUUAGAAUGGAGUCUAGAAUGCAGGGAUUUCUCUGUCCUGCUGUCUCUUUAGCAUCUAGAAUAGUACUGGAUAUAUAGUAGGCUCCUGAUAAAUGUUUUGAACAUAUGCAUAAACAUUAUUCACUUUCUUUUUAUAAGACCUAGCUGUUACAUUCCUUUUACUUUACUUUUAAAUGUAAAUUAUUACAUUUUUGUAAUAAUUUUUAUUUUAACAGUUAUGCAAAUAGAUAGCCUCAACCAUAUCCAGGAUAAAAACGAGAAGGAUGAUUCUCAGAAAGACACCUCCAAAAAGGUUCAAACUAUCUCAGACUGUGAAAAACAAGCCCUUGCACGGUCAGAACCUGGCCAGUUGGCUGACAGCAAGGAAGAAACAUCAAAAAUUGAGAAAGAAGACGGACUUACAUCCCAGCCAGGUAAUGAACAGUUGAAGAGUUCAGACACUUCGCCAGUGUAUGACACCUUAAUGUUUUGUGCAAGUAGGAAUACU